UUGUGGUUUGGAAUAUGCCGUCCUUUUCUGUGUCAUCUUUCUUCUUCUGCUUGGCCCUGGCCUUGCUUUGUGUGUUUCCUAUGCCACUCAUCGGUUGGAAUUGAAGCGAGGGAGAGAAGGUAGCCAUGUGUGGUGGAAUGUCCGUUAGCUACCCCAAGCUCAUCUAUUGAGGGUGGUAUCGGGUGGUGGUGGGUUGCACAUGGUGGGACAAAGGACCACAAGGUCUUUACAAGGUUGACAAACAAAUGGUGGAUCCAACCAUGGAACCUUUCAUAAGGCACAAGACAGAGAAGUAAAGCAGAUAUCUCAAGUCUUCCUACCAAGACCUUGGUGUUCAAAAGCUGCAAGUGCUUGCUUGUUUGACAAAACAAAGCGGCUAUGUCAAUGGAUUUGCCGGUGCUCCUGGAUCUAUUACCACCGUUCCCCAUGAUCUAAGCAGCACAUGGAUACAAGUUUAAUUAAUAUGCAUAUAUCUCUCUCUCUCAUGUGAGGCCAUAAAAAAACAUUAAGGUUGCUUGCUCAGGAGGAUCAGCAGCAUCAGUGAUCCAUCUGUGUUGAUGGAUCUCAUCAUUCAAUCCACAUCUAUGUUGAUAGAUGAAGAGUCGAUGAUAUGAAAACAAGCUGCUUUGAACUGUCAAUCCAUGCCAAACAACACUUAUAAAUGGUUUGAACCAGCCAUUUUGGCA